UGAGAGUUUAACCUCUCUCUCUCUCUCUCUCUCUCUCUCUCUCUCUCUCUCUCUCUCUCUCCAUUAUGCACUAAUGUAUGUACCAUAACAUUGACAUAUAACAUAAUUUUGGUCCACCAACCUUUUUUUUUGGACCUGCCAUCAGCCUGUUAGUUUACAAUAUUCCCCAUGAACAUGCAGUGGGUCCUUGAUUUGGAUUGCUGAGAUCGGCAUGCAUGCAAGGAAGAGGCAAGGUGAGAAACGGAGAGGCCAAACCUUCAUCCCGGGAGAGUACACAUGUGGCGGUGAGGGUCGUUCAACCCUUCCCUUCUUUUGAGAAUUGACUGUACUACGGGUUGUCUCCAAAGUGUUAUGUGGUCCCAUUAGGCUUUGGUGAGAGUUAUUUGCACAAUUUCAGGACUUGUGUCUACUUGCUGUCUCCGUCUUCUCGUCCUCGCCGUCUACUUG